GCUGGUAGAGCUCAGUGGUAGAGCGCUUGCCUUCAUGCAUGAGGCCCUGAGUUCGAUUCCUCAGCACCACA
rnacentral:tRNA from 1 species